rnacentral:tRNA from 1 species
GGGGCCUUAGCUCAGUUGGUAGAGCGCUGCCUUUGCAAGGCAGAUGUCAGGAGUUCGAAUCCCCUAGGCUCCA